rnacentral:rRNA from 1 species
UACGUAGGGGGCAAGCGUUGUCCGGAUUUAUUGGGCGUAAAGAGCGUGUAGGCGGUUUGGUAGGUCCGCUGUGAAAACUCGAGGCUCAACCUCGAGACGCCGGUGGAAACCAUCAGGCUAGAGUCCGGAAGAGGAGAGUGGAAUUCCUGGUGUAGCGGUGAAAUGCGUAGAUAUCGUAAGGAAGACCAGUGGCGAAGGCGGAUCUCUGGACAGUUACUGACACUGAGGCACGAAGGCCAGGGGAGCAAACGGG